UAAUUCUCUUGUUGAUGUUUUGAUAAUCAUGACAUCCACAGAACUUUUCUUGUAUCCUUCCUUUUAUUCCAAUCAUCCUUGUUUUCAAUUUGCUUUUAAAAACCAAAAGGCAAAUAUUUUUAUAUCUAAAAAAAAGUUUAUUCAUAUUUUCCCUUUCCUAUAUUGUGUUUGAUAUGACUCUUUCUCCUGAGAAGGCAGUUAAAGCAGAAGCAAUCAACAACUGCACUCCCAAGACAUGGUCUCCUUUUCUAUCAAUACUUGCCUUGUCAACAGUAAUAAGGAGAAAAAUUAAUACGUUUUACCCACGGUUCGCUUGUUACAGUUUCGAACUCUCUUUACACAGUGUAUAUUGCCACGCCCAUCUAUUUUACCUGAUGAAAAUCAGUUAAAAACUUUAUUUUGUUAUGAAGGUAUCGUCAAGUCUGGUGUAGACUUAAAGCCAAAUCAUUACGUUCCCCUUCUUCCAGGUUGCAACUUUUUAAGUGAAAGUUGCAUUUUCCUACUUCAGCAUGCAAAAAGCUGAAAACGGCCCUUUGUAAUUCUUUUUUUAAAGUUCAAACGAAACUUGAGUUAAGCCCUUUGAAUAAACAAAUAGCUAUAUCUGAACAAAUACAUGGGUUGAGGUGUGUAUCAUGUCACAUGUAUGUACAUUUCAUCUUCAUUAUUCUGAUCUUUCCAUAUUCUUAUUGUUUUUGUUAUGAUUGUGUUUUAUUUUGCUGUCCAUGGCCGGUGUGAUCAUUUGAUUCACCUAGUCAUGCUGAUAAAGCCCGAUAUUGGCAGAAACAGCAAGAGUUUAUAAAUAUUGAAAUAUAUUCACAGUUGUCUCACUUUAUUGUAGUUAAUCCCUGUUAAUUUUAGUGCUUUUAUCUAUCUAAAAUAAGACGUGUAAGACCGAGAGUUGAUUCUUAUAAAAAAAUGUUCUUAAGAGAUUUUCUUAUAGCUUAGCGUUUCUUUUGUCAAUUUUAUUAAUAACUAGAUAAAUCGGAAGACAAUUUUCGGCGAUUUUUGUACCCGCUUACAGCAACCCCCAGGACCCGCAGCUGCUAAGUUCAAGACUAAUUCAAAAUAUUGCUGAUGCGCAGCAAUAUUUUGACUAAGUCUUAAAAAAGUCUGGAUCCGCCCCUGCCGUCGUUUAGUCCUUACAAAAGUUCAACAUAAUGUUCUAACCUUAGGUCAAAAUGAGUGUAGCGGUACUUAGUUUAAUGAUUUUAUUUAUACUCUUUUUGAUCAUUACACCUUUUUAUUUAUUUUCGUUUUUAAUGUUAUCAUAUGUUAAGAUUAAGAUUAUAUCACGUUUUUUAGCCAUGUAUUAUAUUAAUACCAAAAGUUGUCUGUGGCUGAAAAUACUGAACUGAAAAUUUAACGAUAUUAUGAAAGUUAAGGCCAUUGCAGUGCACUUUUGAGGCCGAAUAACUUUGAAACGAGUGAAAAUAACUGACGUUAUCUCCUGCGGGAACGACCUGGAAUGAAAAUAGGACUAAUUUUUUAAAGCUGGGUCAAUCCAUCCAGACGGAUUAAUGACGUCAUCAAAAAUUUUAAACCCCAAUAUCUCUGUAACCGUUCGUUAAAAGAAAAAGUAUUUGUUUCUGUACAUUUUCUUGAUCAAAGUUUCACGCUCUAUACAACAGCGGCAACGAGUACACAAAUAUAAAAAUAAAUUGUACUCUGAUUGACCAUUCGUCAAAAAGACAUGACCUAUGUAGUUUCUACAUCAGAAUUUCAUGUUCUACACAUUAGAGGCAACAGCUUUCCUUGUUUAUGCACUGUGCAUAUUAUCAAAAAUUCUAAAACAACUCAUAUUUUUUCCAUUGUUCUUCUGCCUGGAUCUUUUCGGGGGUAAUUGACUAGUAAAUCUUAAAGAAAAACAUAAUUUUAGCUAAAAACGUAGGAGCAAGCUAGCUACAUUAUGUAUAGCAGCCUAGCCCAAAGCUAGCUAGCAGUACUCGCUCUGUUCUAAUAAAGUAUCUAUUCAAUGUAGUAUUAGUGCCAUUUUAUCUUAGCCAAUAUUGUUAUAUUCUUGUGUUUUCACCACUCUGAUUUUUACUAAGCUGCAAAUUGGCUUGUGGUUAAAAAGUGAAAUUAUAUACUCUGUUUGAAAUUUGAUAAUAGUACCGUUUUACACAGUUUAUUUUUUGCUAACAAUUAAGUUUUCAAAUGACAGACUGUAGGAUUUGUUUUUAUCUAAACUGUCAAAUAAUUUUGGAACUUUCACAAAAGUUCAUUUUAAAAAAUUAAAUUGAUGUGUUCCUGUUUUAGAUUCAUAGGUUAACAAAAAAAAAAAAAAAGAGAGUAUUUUGCAAAAUAUACUAGAAAACGGUGUUUCUUUUGAUGGUGUAAGGAUUAGUUGUACUCGUAAUGAUAUCACAAUAUUGCAGUGUCAUACUUAUAGCGUAGCUACGCGGAAUAAUAUUAGUCAAUUCAUUAGAAAGAAGCAGUAAGAAAUUGUUUCAGCAGUAUUGUGUUGCAUAUGUUAAAGUGGAAGCUAAGAAUUAAAAUAUACUCAAGAAAAUCAAACUAUUCUUCACCUUUGUAGUUACAAGGACUAGUUAACUUAAUGCGCAAGCUAAAGAGCAAGAGUCUUUAAGUUUUCAAGGAAGCCCACGUGUCAUGGUACAAAUUAUAAAGAUUCUAUGGUGGUCAUUGAAAAGUUUGGGAAACGCGAUUUCUUUUUUACUUUUACAUGAAAUCCAAAUUUGCGCAAAAUUGUAGAAAAUUUGUUUGCGGGCCAACAUGCACACGAUCGAUAUAGUGUCUCGAGUUUCUCAGUUCAAAUUAAAUGGGCUCCUCAAAGAUGUUACAGGAAGGAAGUUUCAGCUAUGAAUUUGACACAAUGUGUAUGUUACAGAAUUUGAACAGAAGGGUUUGCCUCACUGUUAUUUGUUAUUUCAUCUAGAUGCUAACGAUAAGCAUCACAGAUGACAUAGAAAGUGUGAUUUCUGUGAACACUCACAAUCAACGGGACCAAAACCAGCUCUUUAAGAUCGUUUGAUAGUGACUCAUGGUCCAUGUGUUCCAGGUGAAUGGAAGAUGGUCUCUGCAUCUAGAGCUUCACGAAACGUUUUCGUAUAAUACAAUAGCUGAAGUUGAUGGAUAUCUGUUGUAUGAACAUCGCUGGUUUGUGCCCUACAAUCCAUGGCUCUCCAAGGAAUACAAUGCACAUUUAAACAUGGAAUCUUCAUGCCUCUUAUGUUUGUUAAAUACCUCAGCAAAUAUAUUUAUAAAGUUCGUGAUUGUGACACAUUUAGGACAAUAAAACGUAUUGAUCAGAAAAGCACACAUUUUUAGAUACUCUGUAUGUGUGCCCGAAGCAGGACUGUUUUUUUUUUAAAAUUUAGUAUGCAGACGCAAUUUGAUGCUGUCAAAUUGCAAAAUAACCCUCUUUUUUGAAAAGGACCGACUAAGGAAGCUGUAAAUGUAACCGCCAAGUUAACAGCUUUGUUGGUCUUAAAUCAACUAAGCCCUGACGUUUACCAGUAUGUGUAUCGAGAAAUUCCUCUUUAUUUUGUUUUCGAUUAUAGGAGGAAAGUUAGGCGAACUAAUUCAUGAUGAAAUAUUAUUCACCUCAACUGACAGAAGAACUAACAGCAUUGGCUGAUGCAGUUAUAGAAAUGUUGUAGAUGUCACUAACAGUAAAAUAAAGGCCUCUUUUUAAAUUUUAUUCAUAACACUGCAUGUCAUAUGCCUUCGACUCUGAUAGCACAUGUAUAGGUGAUGUGUCAUCGAAUGGGUUGUUGAUUAAUGAAACUAUGUAUGUCACAAACCUACACUUGGUUAACAACUUUUUGAUUGUAACAUAGGUACAGCCGUUGAGAUGAUAAUAGGUCGUUAAAUUGUCUGUUCAUUUAUUUUAAACAUCAUGCAGUUCACACUCUCUGUGGUUAAAUGCUUUCUGUUAGGGUGGUGUGACAUUAAAUUUAUCAUGCUAUGCAGUAAAUUGUUUCUAAUUCUGAUGUACUGUAACCUAAAUUUUUUGUUAGACAUGCAUCUUUUUUUUUCUUUUAGGUGAAUGCAAAGUCCUACGGCUCAUCUCCACUUGGUGUACUAUUAAGCGGUUAGGGUAUUUACUGUUCAUUUUUAGCAUACAAUCCAUUAGUUCAGACGGAGUUAUGGCUUUCCUAAAAAUUUGAGGAUAUAAAACCAACUAGAAAUGGAAAUAAUGCAUGGCCGGAAUUACUGCAUAUUAUAAGCCAAAAACCUAACGGGGGAGAAUGCUCAUUGUAAUAGUUGAAGAUAGUUGAAGCACUAUGGAGAUAAUUAAAUUUAGAGGAUGAAAGAAGAAAUUCUGAAAAUUUAGGUAUUCUGAUUGUCUAGAUCUGAUACUGUCUCCAUAAGGAAACGACUAACUGUUUGAACAAAAUCAAAAAGUAAGACAGCUAGCGAAGCGAAGUUGUCUUCAGAAACAUCAACAAGAAGUGGUCAAUGUUGAAAAGAAGUCUGAUUUCAGUAAGAAUAACACAGAAACUUUGAUUGAUUUAUCUGAUUUAUCAUGUUUUGAACUUUGUGGAUGCAUUUAUAAAAGCAUUACGAUGGAAACACAGCUACGGAUACUCUCCCUCAUUCAUUAUUUUUUUAUUUUUUGAAUCCAGCAACCGUGUGAUUGAUUUUGUCGUGCGGUUAUUAUCGCAUAAUGAAAUGCAAUGUCGGUUCUGUAGGCGAAGAGAAAUUGGGAGUUUGUUAUUUCUAUAAAACAUUUGGACAUGUUCUGGUUUUUAGUUUUCAAUAAAAUUUUCAGGAUAAUCUUUCACUUUUUAUAAUAAAAUAGGCACCUCUAAAAAGUUGCCUACAAGGUGAUUACGCGCCUUUGCAAGAGUUUUUUCUUAUUGACGAUAAAAUACAAAAAAUCUGGCUUACAGCCUGUUAUCCGAUGUGUAAAAGAAACAAACAUCUCAGUUUUUUAUAAAACGUUUAUUUAAUUCGUUGCCAAUUUAAAUAGCCACCAUAGCUCCUCAUAUUCGCCCUCUACCAAAUUAUUCAAUUUCAAUGUUUUAAGCAUAUUACGACUUUUCGAAAAUAUGGCGUUGCUCACAUUUAGAAAAGUCAGAGUAGCCAUGAAAUGAAAUUCAGUUUGAAACUUUCUAGAAUCAUACCUAGUUGCUGUUAGCUAUCAUUUUAAAUCAACCAGAUCGGAUCCACAUCUUUCUUGCCUGUUUAGAGUAGCGCAACAUGUGGCGCAUCAUGUGAAAAAUAUAGCUUAAACAAAAAAUAUUUUUUUGUUUAACAGGUAAAUAUCACCAUGUUCCCAGCAAGAUCCGAAGGAAAAGCCAGUAAUUAUCACGUAACAGAAAAGUAAUGAAAUUGUUAUGUCUUCGACAUCCAUUUCCUUUGCAGCCAUUUGUCUAGUUCCAUAGUAUAUUUUUCGUCGGUGAAAGACAAGAAACAGCUGCAGAAAGUAUUAUAUCACUGGCUAAUUAGCAAAUAUCAAUUUUGCAGGCAGGGAAAGAACUCACCAUCGCAAUAACCAAUUUGCCAGGCUUUUGUAUUGUUUUAUAUUAACAAAGAAUUAUAUUUUUUGUAAAUAAACGAGUUGCCUUCCCGCCUGAAACGCUGUAAAUAAUAAGAGUGUUUACAGACGAGUUUUAUUAAUUCGAAGCCAUUCCAGUGUUCACAAAAAAAAAACGCGUUUCUUCUAAAAAAUAAAAAUGUUAUUUGGCUGUAGUACAUCACCUAUUUCAUAUUUAAGAAUUCCGUGGGUAACAUAGAAUAUAUGACAACAUUACUUUAUUACAUCAACAUAAACUGUAUGGGCCAAACGUGGCUUUCCUAGUGACAGGAGUACAUAGAACUUUGUAUUUCAAAAGCACUGUGCAUAAUUUCGACAAAGACAUAAUGGCAGACAUACUACUAAUUAAACAAAGUUGUUAAAAGUUUGUUUGGGGUACAGUUCUUUAAAACGCUUUACUCAAGACAGUCGAUAGGUAUAUAUUUAAUGAAGUUACACAACCAUGUUUUCUUCCAAUAUUUCUUUACCAGUUGGUCACCUGUUUUGCGUUUGGGGAAUAAUAUUUGAAAGAGAAUCGCGAAUUUAAUUAAAAAGUCGCUCGAAGUCGCUCUUACAUGUGCGACUUAUCGGCACUAGCGCGAAAAGUAUUCAAAAGAUUAACUAACUAAGUGAGUGUCCAGGCUGGUGUUCACUAGAGUGAAAUAAGCAAUAGGAAAUUAAAAAAACUUCGAAAAUUGGAAGAUGCUAUAAACUCCUGCAAACCCGUUUUUCUAAACUAGAAUCAAAUUUGAAACAGUUGCUGCUAUGGUGUAGAAAAUCAAAAUAGUACCAGUAAAUGUUAGCUUUUUUCACCACUUUAGCUUUGAGGUCAAUAUAAACUUAAAAUUUGUCCUAAACCCUUUGAAAUCAACUUAUGUUAACCCUAUUUGGUUUGGGGGAUUCUCUAUUGACGGAUUUUCGGGCAAUGUUUUGCAACUUUUCAUGCGAACUAUGUAAAAACUGGAAUAUACUGGAAAUUUUAUUUGGCUUUCAGAAAAUUUACACAGAAUGUAAGAAUUCGCUCUAGAACUAAAGUAAUUGAAUUUUAAGCAUAUAGAGGUAUUUUAAAAAUAUUUUAAGCUUUUGAUGACGUCAUCGACAAAGUGCUGAUGUAAGCAAGAAUUUAUUCCUGCCAUUUUGUUCCUUUUGUGACGUAUUAUAAGUGUGUCAAUUUUUUUUUUUUGGGGGGGGGAUCUAAAAAAAUCGAGAAAUCCGGAUGUUUACGUUCCACAAGGACAACGACGUAAGUUUCAAUUAUUCGCACAACGGAAGUUAUAAUGUUAUUAGUCAGAUCAUAACAAUGGUAUAAAUUUAAAAAAUACUUUAGAUUCAUACACAGAAAACAAUUCAAAGAACCUCACGUUACAAAGAUUUAUUCUCUUUUUAAGAAUUGUAACAACACUAGAAGAGACCAUACGUAAUUACUAGUACCAAAUUUUUCUUGUUUUAUGCUUUGGUCUCAUGUUGACUCCGUACAACUUCCGUCCAUUUGUUGCUUGUACUGGCCGAUAAUUUCCGUACAUUGGUAAAUUUUCACAAUCCAGAACUUUAUUAAUUGCUC